AUUGAACGCUGGCGGCAGGCCUAACACAUGCAAGUCGAGCGGAGGAAGGGAGCUUGCUCCUGGAUUCAGCGGCGGACGGGUGAGUAAGGCCUGGGAAUGGGCGGGGGAUGGGGGGAUAACGCCGGGAAACGGGCCCCAUGACGCCACAGGUCCGGAGGGGGAAGGAGGGGCAUCUGCGGACCUCCGGCAAGCAGGGGACCGAAGGUCGGGUUGGCGAGUUGGCGGGGUAAAGGCCUCCCAAGGCGACGAUCCGUAACGGGUCUGAGAGGAUGAUCAGUCACACUGGAACUGAGACACGGUCCAGACUCCUACGGGAGGCCGCAGUGGGGAAUAUUGGACGAUGGGCGAAAGCCUGAUCCAGCCAUGCCGCGUGUGUGAAGAAGGUCUUCGGAUUGUAAAGCACUUUAAGUUGGGAGGAAGGGCAGUAAGUUAAUACCUUGCUGUUUUGACGUUACCCACAGAAUAAGCACCGGCUAACUUCGUG
rnacentral:rRNA from 1 species